rnacentral:rRNA from 1 species
UACGUAGGGGGCGAGCGUUGUCCGGAGUUACUGGGCGUAAAGCGCACGCAGGCGGUCUGCUAAGUUUGGAGUGACAGUUGGUGGCUUAACUGCCAAAAUGCUUCGAAAACUGACAGACUUGAGGGCUUCAGAGGGACACGGAAUUCCGGGUGGAGUGGUGAAAUGCGUAGAGAUCCGGAGGAACACCAAAGGCGAAGGCAGUGUCCUGGGGAGUACCUGACGCUCAGGUGCGAAAGCCAGGGGAGCGAACGGG